CAUUUGCCAAACCACGACACACGCAUGUACCACUCCACUCCUGGUUCCGACUUCCGACAUCUGUUCACACAAAAAAAAAUUCACCUCCGUUCCCCUUUCUCCUUGCUCUCCCGUGAGGCUACUGCCGCUGAGCCUGCUCCUCGAUUCCGUCCGCCGGAGCUGCCAAUCGACACAGCCUAUGUGCCCCUGUAUGACAUCGGGGCAGCGGAGCCGGAACUGGAGCUCGAUCCGCCACUGUGGCAUCCUCGGUGACGGUAACUGCGACGCCAUCGGCGCAGCGGCUAUAGCAGGCUUGCACUUGCAGCUUGUAGCAAGGGCUACAAAAAAAUCACUUCUCGCUCAAUUAAGUUGUAGGGUUCCCACUUUGGAAAUCCAAAGGUCUCUUGCUAAAAAGCAUGAUUUGGAGUUGUUGAUUGACCACUCAGACCUGGAGGUCACCAAGGCGAAGGGAGAGUAGCUAGCUUUUCAUGCAAGAACCAAUGGUUUGGUUGGUUCCUGGUUACGCCAUGCUCUUGCUCCUGUGUAAACAAAUCGGCUUGGUCUUCUGAAUAAGAUGAUUCUAAAGACUAUUCAUAUCAUAUGAAAUAAAGAGACUAAUUUCCCAAAAAA